AAGCCGUCCCCUCCCUGGUUUUUUUGUCAGGGAUGGCGGCGCGUUCUGAGUGGUCGUUUCUUUUUAAUAUACUAGGAUAAGAUACCCUAUUAUAAAAGAUGUAAAAUUUUAAGCUAAAUUAGUAUUAGUUAUGAUCUUUAAAGUUAAAGAAUUCGGCGGUAUUUUAGUCUAUUUAGAGGAACCUGUCCUAUAAUCGAUGAUCCACGAUUUAUUUUACUUAUUUUAAUUAGUUUGUAUAUCGUCGUAGUUAGAAUAUUUUAAAAGAAUUUAAUAUUCAAGAUUCUUAAUGAUGAAGGAAAUCAGAUCAAGGUGCAGAAAAUAAAUAAGAAGAGGAUGGGUUACAAUAAAUUUAUUAAUAUGGUUAACUAUUUAAAAAAUAGUUAU
rnacentral:rRNA from 1 species